rnacentral:lncRNA from 1 species
UAGAUAAAAAACAGAAUAUAUGUGAAUCCAUUUAAUAUCAUUGUGAAUCGAUUACUUAUUUGAUGGUAAGAUGACUUCAAAAAUGUUUCAAAGCAGUUCGAAGUGUUUUGAUUAUGUUUCUAACAUGCAUAUAUCUUAAUGCAUGAUGAAAAUCCUCUCAGUAAGAUUUCUAGUAUUCCGGCUCAGUAAGUUCUCGAUUUUUUAACAUUUUAGGUGUUAGUUCAAUGGUAAAAGCAUAGCUUUGUAAUAAAACAUAAAAAUCACACAAAACAAACAACAAGCUUAAUACAUGAUGAUAUAUUAAAAAAUAACACUAGAUAAAAAAAAUUGGUACAUACUGAGAUAUUAGUGUAACAAAGAAAACGAAACCAUAAGACAAAUGAGAUAAAAGAUUUGUUUAUAUACAUUAAGCUUAUAUAAAAACUAGUUCGCACACAAAAGAUUGAUUUUUUUUUUUAAAGAUUGAAAGAUAGAUGCUUAUAGCAUUUUAUUAAUAAUAAGUUGUUCAAUACAAUGAGGUACAUUGUAAUGAGUAGUGGGACUAACUAAUAAUGUGUCAACCCCAUCAAGGUGUGAGCUACCUCACGUCCUAUUUAAAAGGUUUUCCGAUUGGUACACAAUGGCCUUUACGACACUUAAUAUUAUGUGGAGGCAUUCUUGGACAAUCUUUAUCUGUUAAACAAGGACGAAGAGUCAUACCAAAAGCAUUAGAAUCACAUACUAUUAAGAUAUAAAAUAUGGAAAGAAAUAGAAUCAUAAUAUAAACAAAUUUUAGAGUUUUAUCCAUAUUUUUCCUCUCUGCAUCGAAAAAAUAGAAAACAAUUUGUCAACUUUAUAGGGUAUAAAUUUCAUGCUAUCUUAUGAUUAAUUAAUAGUUUAAUCAUUUAUGAUCUUUUA